rnacentral:lncRNA from 1 species
GGGUCACCCAGCAAGUAAUGAUCAGAGCGUGGAAUCCUGCCUCCUAACUUCAGAAUGCCUGCUCUCAUCACUAGCGCCACAAGGUUCUUCGGGGAUACCGUGCACGUGCACAAAGCUUAAAAAAUAGAUCAUGUUGUUGGUGCACCAUAUUCAUGAGAAAAGUUGUGGGAAGCUACUGCAAGAGAACACGGGCUCCCACUGCCAGUUUCUGCAUAUAUGAGAGGGAGGCUGGCGGCAGGAUGGAUGGGGCCUCUUUGAAGGGGAACAUGCGAUCUGAAAUGCAAUCAUCCUUGGGAGCCAGAGAAUGGCAGUGCCUGGACCCAGGAGAAGAGCAAUUCAGGCUCGUGAACACAAGAAAUGGAAAAAGCCAGGUCUGGAUGAAUCAUGUAAUUGUGUGA